rnacentral:rRNA from 1 species
UGGGGAAUCUUGCGCAAUGGCCGAAAGGCUGACGCAGCGACGCCGCGUGUGGGAGGACGCUCUUCGGGGUGUAAACCACUGUUGCCCGGGACGAACAUCCACUUUCGAGUGGACUGACGGUACCGGGUGAGGAAGCACCGGCUAACUCCGUGCCAGCAGCCGCGGUAAUACGGAGGGUGCGAGCGUUGUCCGGAAUCACUGGGCGUAAAGGGCGCGUAGGCGGUGGCCUAAGCGUGCGGUGAAAGCCCGGGGCUCAACCCCGGGUCGGCCGUGCGAACUGGGCUCACUGGAGCACUGUAGAGGCAGGUGGAAUUCCGGGUGUAGCGGUGGAAUGCGUAGAGAUCCGGAAGAACACCGGUGGCGAAGGCGGCCUGCUGGGCAGUGGCUGACGCUGAGGCGCGACAGCGUGGGGAGCAAACAGG